rnacentral:snoRNA from 2 species
CCCCUCUCAGGAUCGCACCUGGAGAGUUUCCAGUACUUUACCAGUCUCAGCUAUGGAAAGGCGAGUCAGGCAGAGGCAUACCCAUUCCAUUCCUAGCUUGGGCAGUGGCUAGCUGGUGGAAGACAAUCUCUGCUACAAGU